AAAACGUAUGGAACCGCGGGAAAAAUACACAGCAGCUUAUCAACAAAGUGCUUGCUGGAUCAGACAUGUCCCGAUCGAUUUUUAUUUUCCAGUCGCGGGAAAAUCGACAUAAAGGGCAAAGGCCUUAUGGAGACGUACUGGGUAGUGGAUAGCACGCAUCAACUUCCGUCCUAAAAAGAAAUACGGAGUCCCCUAUUGAUCUAUUAGCGGAAUCGGAAUUGGUUCCGAAAUGAAGCCACUUGAGCUCGAUUAUUUGCCGACCACACUUACCACAGAAACCUCAGUUCAAUAGCGUGUACACAAUUGUUAAUAAACCAUACAUGCAACUGCCCGCCGGCGCUACAAGCCGCCGAAAUAGAAUAAAUAUGCAGGCCAUCGAUGAUGCCGA